rnacentral:rRNA from 1 species
AUGAAGAGAAGCAUAGACCGAAAGGAUCCAACCUGCAGACACACAGACGUGGAUGAACAAAGACUAGAUCCAGUCGGAUCCACCGAAGACAAACGCCGACCGGAUCCCACGAGAUCCGCCGGAAACAAACCUCCACAUGCCUUUCGACGAUGCUUGAAACAUUACCGGGAUGGGGGGCUAGACGGGGAGGACCUUAUUCCAUCUUCAAAAAGUCGCCGCUGCCUCGUCUUCUUGAGCAUGGCACAAACCCUAACUAAACUCAGAAAACCAUCUAAAAAUGGAGCAACAUGGCUUAUUUUGGACCAACGUUUUGUGCAUGUUGCAGUUUUGCCUGAUGUUGUCUAUAAAAAUAAUUAG